rnacentral:rRNA from 1 species
ACGGCUCAGUAACACGUAGUCAACCUACCCUUGGGACGGGGACAACCUCGGGAAACUGAGGCUAAUCCCCGAUAGGCGGGGGACGCUGGGAUGCCCCCUCGCCCAAAGCUCCGGCGCCCGAGGAUGGGACUGCGGCCUAUCAGGCUGUUGGUGGUGUAACGGACCACCAAACCUACGACGGGUACGGGCGAUGGGAGUCGGAGCCCGGAGAUGGGGACUGAGACAAGGCCCCAGGCCCUACGGGGCGCAGCAGGCGCGAAAACUCCGCAAUGCGCGCAAGCGUGACGGGGGGACCCCAAGUGCCGUUGGUCUUUCGAUCGACGGUUUUUAGGAAGUCUAAGAAGCUUCCAGAAUAAGGGCUGGGCAAGACUGGUGCCAGCCGCCGCGGUAACACCAGCAGCCCAAGUGGUGGCCACGAUUAUUGGGCCUAAAGCGCUCGUAGCCGGAUCAAUAAGUCCCUUGUGAAAUCGGGCCGCCCAACGGUUCGGCGUGCAAGGGAUACUGUUGGUCUUGAGGCCGGGAGAGGUCGGAGGUACUCCUGGGGUAGCGGUGAAAUGCUCUAAUCCUAGGGGGACCACCAGUGGCGAAGGCGUCCGACCAGAACGGACCUGACGGUGAGGGGCGAAGGCUAGGGGAGCGAACGGGAUUAGAUACCCCGGUAGUCCUAGCUGUAAAGCAUGCGGGCCAGGUGUCUAGCGCUCCUUGAGGGCGCUAUGUGCCGGAGGGAAGCCGUUAAGCCCGCCGCCUGGGAAGUACGGUCGCAAGGCUGAAACUUAAAGGAAUUGGCGGGGGAG